rnacentral:rRNA from 1 species
GACGAACCGUGCGAACGUUAUUCGGAAUCAUUGGGCGUAAAGCGCGCGUAGGUGGCCCGGUAAGUCCGCUCUGAAAGUCAAAGGCUCAACCUUUGAAAGCGGGUGGAUACUGCCGGGCUAGAGUCCGGAAGAGGCGAGUGGAAUUCCUGGUGUAGCGGUGGAAUGCGCAGAUAUCAGGAGGAACACCAACGGCGAAGGCAGCUCGCUAGGACGGUACUGACACUGAGGCGCGAAAGCGUGGGGAGCGAACAGG